rnacentral:rRNA from 1 species
UACCUGCAGCUCGAGUGGUAACCGCUAUUAUUGGGCCUAAAGCGUCCGUAGCCGGUUUGGUAAAUAUCUGGGUAAAUCGUGAGGCUUAACUUCACGAAUUUCGGAUAGACUGCCAGACUUGGGAUCGGGGGAGGUCAGAGGUACUCCAGGGGUAGCGGUGAAAUGUUGUAAUCCUUGGAGGACCACCGGUAGCGAAGGCGUCUGACUAGAACGAGUCCGACGGUGAGGGACGAAGCCCUGGGGGCGCAAACCGGGAUUAGAUACCCGGGUAGUCCAGGGUGUAAACGAUGUGGGCUUUGUAUUGGAGGUCCCACGUGGGCGUCCAGUGCAGAAGAGAAGUUGUUAAGCCCACCGCCUGGGAAGUACGGUCGCAAGGCUGAAACUUAAAGGAAUUGGCGGGGAGCACAGCAACGGGAGGAGCGUGCGGUUU